CGCUGGCGGCACGCCUUACACAUGCAAGUCCAUCGGUAACAGGUCUUCGGACGCUGACGAGUGGCGAACGGGUGAGUAAUACAUCGGAACGUGCCCAGUCGUGGGGGAUAACUACUCGAAAGAGUAGCUAGUACCGCAUACGAUCUGAGGAUGAAAGCGGGGGACCUUCGGGCCUCGCGCGAUUGGAGCGGCCGAUGGCAGAUUAGGUAGUUGGUGGGAUAAAAGCUUACCAAGCCGACGAUCUGUAGCUGGUCUGAGAGGACGACCAGCCACACUGGGACUGAGACACGGCCCAGACUCCUACGGGAGGCAGCAGUGGGGAAUUUUGGACAAUGGGCGAAAGCCUGAUCCAGCAAUGCCGCGUGCAGGAUGAAGGCCUUCGGGUUGUAAACUGCUUUUGUACGGAACGAAAAAGCUUCUCCUAAUACGAGAGGCCCAUGACGGUACCGUAAGAAUAAGCACCGGCUAACUACGUGCCAGCAGCCGCGGUAAUACGUAGGGUGCGAGCGUUAAUCGGAAUUACUGGGCGUAAAGCGUGCGCAGGCGGUUAUGUAAGACAGAUGUGAAAUCCCCGGGCUCAACCUGGGAACUGCAUUUGUGACUGCAUGGCUAGAGUACGGUAGAGGGGGAUGGAAUUCCGCGUGUAGCAGUGAAAUGCGUAGAUAUGCGGAGGAACACCGAUGGCGAAGGCAAUCCCCUGGACCUGUACUGACGCUCAUGCACGAAAGCGU
rnacentral:rRNA from 1 species